ensembl:lncRNA
GCCAUAUGGAUGCCUAAAUGUUUAUUUUUUUAUUGCGUAUUGAUUAUUUAUUUAUUAAGUGAAAAUAAUUAAACAAACAGGCCCAAAACAUGAUACUUCCACCACCAUGUUUCACAGAUGGUAUAGGUUUUUAUGCUGGAAUUUUCUAGGAUUUUCCUUUCUCCAUAUAUAACACUAUUUUGAUCUCAUCUAUCGACAAACUAUUAUUAAUAUUACACAUUUCACAUUUCAAGCAUUACACAUCCCUACUAUGAACUGUGUGCAUGUGGGUCACAUGAUGACAGUAGAGGAAGGAAGUUGUAACAGUUAAUUUGCAUAUCGCUUCAUGCUUUCUGCCAGUCUAACGUGUAGGAAUGAAUGAGGAGAGCGGUUCCUCUGUGUGUUUCUGCUCCUAUUAUGUUACGCAUGUCAGCAGUAAUUCUCCCGGAGCCGAGUCUGAAGCUGAAGGUCGAGCCGAGUCUGAAGCUGAAGGUCAUUCACGUAUAUGCAAAUGCAGCCCCUCGGCGGGCGUUUGGCAGUGGAGUGGCACUGCGGCAGCACAGGUGAUGACCGGAGCUUUUCCCCCAGCCUGGAUCCGGAGUCUGAGGAGUUUCUGUUACAGAACAGCGGAGUAAUGAUGUAACAGAGCGCAGGCUGAAGAGCGGGUACUCCGGCACCGGGCAGCAGUGGGUAUGAUGGGCUGUGUGGAUUUAUACAGACAGUAUUUAUCCUUUAUUCUCUUUAUUUCUCACCACUGCCUCUCUCCACUGCUGCAGGGCUAGCCGGCCAUGGAGCCUCUGAGCCUGGUGGUCCUGCUGGUUCCACUGGGCAGCUUUGUGUCCUCCCAGUGGCUGUUUCACAGAGGGAGCUCCUGGCUAUCCGAGCGGCUCACUCCAGCCUUCAUCACGCUGAAUUACACUCAGCGCACACAGUGGAACUCCAGGUAACCCACUCAACUCAACAGAACUGCUUCCAUCCUGCCUUAGUCCAUUUUAAAAAAGCUCAGCGUUUUGGUGGUGUUUACAUAUGGCUUCUUUUUUUUUUUUUUUUUUUUGCAUGAUCCAGAUCAUUUCUGUAAGUGUUCAGUAAGUCUGCCCAUGCAGAGAUUUACAGUACAGAAUCAGUACAGUCUGGUUUUAAUGCAGGGCUACCUGAGGGCCUGAAGAUCACCAGCAUCCAAUACUACAACUGUCAGACUUCUCCCUUAGACACAAGGAUGGAUGGAUGGAUGGAUGGCUAGAUUAAUGAAUGGAUAGCUAGGUUAAUGAAAGGAUGGCUAGAUUAAUGAAUGGAUGGCUAGAUUAAUGGAUGGAUGGCUAGAUUAAUGAAUGGAUGGCUGGAUUAAUGGAAGGAUGGCUAGAUUAAUGGAAGGAUGGCUAGAUUAAUGGAUGGAUGGCUAGAUUAAUGGAUGGAUGGCUAGAUUAAUGGAUGGAUGGCUAGAAUAAUGGAAGGAUGGCUAGAAUAAUGGAAGGAUGGCUAGAUUAAUGAAUGGAUGGCUGGAUUAAUGGAAGGAUGGCUAGAUUAAUGGAAGGAUGGCUAGAUGAAUGGAUGGGUGGCUAGAUUAAUAGAUGGAUGGCCAGAUUAAUGGAAGGAUGGCUAGAUUAAUGGAUGGAUGGCUAGAUUAAUGGAUGGAUG